UUGUAGACUUCAGGUGUUUUUGUAUAGAUUCCUUUUGCGUUGAUUGAAAUUGAUUGAAUUGAAAAUUUUAAAUGAUCGAAUUAAGUUUGGUCACUACCGGAAAUGGUAUAUUUGAAUCAAAUGGCGCCAGGAAGUGUAGGUGGCACUUCCCGGGCACUGACACCAACCGUUUAUAUACUGUCUAUGCUGCCAACACAGGCAAACUGUUUCAACAAGGACAUCGCCAAAACAAGAAGAAUAUGAAGAAGAAUGUUGAGCAUGUGUUGGCUGCCUGCAGGAUUAAUUCUACAGCAGCCAUAUGUUGUCUUCUUCACGAAAAAGAUCCUAUUUGAACAGCAUACACAAUCAAAUGCUUUAUAGUGGGCAUGGAUGAAGACGCCAUCAACGAGGCCACUGAAGAAACCAUUGUUGGGAUUUAUGUUCUUAAAGAACAUGCUUCAAGUGAUGAACCAGGGGACAUUGGUAUUGUCCUUGAAGGCAUCAAGAUGUUGCAAGAUCUUUAUAAUGUAGCAUUACCUGUUGCUAUGCUGUUUUGACUAAUGUACAGUAUGCCCUGAACUUCAAAUCCAAAUCCUGAUCCAAAAGAUUUGCAUGGAACUUGAUGGAGGGAAACUUACCAACAAAGCACUUCCUCUAAAAAAACAGGCUCUUCCAGUGAAAGGGCCAGAGAGACUGCGCCGUCAACCAAACAGCGUAGUUGUCCCUAAAGGCAUCGUUGGUAUGGCUGUACUCUUUGGACUAGUUUUUUUUGUUUGAAUUAACUGGACAGGAUUUGCAUGGAGCUGCUUGGAAAUAACCUUUUGCAAACCAAGCAAAAGUUUUCUCUCUAGAAAACAGACUCCAUUAAAGACCAACAGGCAUCUUUGGUACUGCUAUACCAGCAGUACCAA